GUCUCUCUCUCUCUCUCACCCCCCUCUCUCUUUCGGAAGAGGGGUGAGAGAGAGAGGGAGGGGGAGAGAGAAAGAGAGAG